UGAACGUGCUGAUGAACUGUCAGUGGCAGAACCUGCGCUGUCAGGUGGAGGCUGGACUCCUCAACAUGUUUGGAGAGGAGGAGGAGGAGGAGGGGACGAAGGAGAGGUCACCUCAGUACACCAUCCAGCUGAGAGGCUGCGAGGUCCGAGCCGGGCCUGACACAGACCGCUCCUAUAGGAUCACGUUGAAUAUGUGUGAUGACCAGGUCGCCAUGCUGGAGGUUCGCCGUCCGGAGGAGAAGGAGCGAUGGCUGCAGCUGCUGCGGGACGGAGCUGCCGACAGCACGCGGGAGCCCACGGGGGCUGGACUCAGCGGGCUGCAGACUCGCAUGUUUCCAACCUCCAAUACGUACAUGGACGACCCCUUUCGUCUGGAUGGAUCGGGCCGAGACCAACCCAUCUACUCCAACAGCGCCAUGCUGGAUCACAUGCUGCAGAGCUCCCAGGAUCCAGUUCACUGCAGCUCCGUGUCAUCGAAGGAGUCUGUGACCUACAGUAACACGGGCUUCAGCAGCAGGAAGGUGGCUGAGGUGCCGCGGGGCGUCCAGAAGCUGGACCUCACCGGGAGGAGGACGGUGCAGCUGAGGGCGGGGUCAGAGGUCAACCUGGCAUCCACCAGCAAGCAAAGCAAACGCAACUCCUUUAGACAGUCGCUGGCCGUCUGCACUGAGCGCGCUCAGGCGGGCUUCCUGAACCCUCUGCUGCGACGGACAGCGUCCGCGAAGAACUCUCUGAGACGAGCUCCUUCGGCACUCUUCAUCGAACAUGGAAAGGUUUUCCAGAGGAGGAAGGUGAGGUUCAAACAAACACCACUCAGUUUAGAACACGCAGCACCGAGUUCUAUCAGGAGGAACUCAGA
rnacentral:lncRNA from 1 species